rnacentral:rRNA from 1 species
CCUACGGGCGGCUGCAGUGGGGAAUAUUGGACAAUGGGCGAAAGCCUGAUCCAGCCAUGCCGCGUGUGUGAAGAAGGCCUUCGGGUUGUAAAGCACUUUCAGUGGGGAAGAAAGCCUUGGGGCUAAUACCCUCGAGGAAGGACAUCACCCACAGAAGAAGCACCGGCUAACUCCGUGCCAGCAGCCGCGGUAAUACGGAGGGUGCGAGCGUUAAUCGGAAUUACUGGGCGUAAAGCGCGCGUAGGCGGUCUGAUAAGCCGGUUGUGAAAGCCUCGGGCUCAACCUGGGAACGGCAUCCGGAACUGUCAGGCUAGAGUGCAGGAGAGGAAGGUAGAAUUCCCGGUGUAGCGGUGAAAUGCGUAGAGAUCGGGAGGAAUACCAGUGGCGAAGGCGGCCUUCUGGACUGACACUGACGCUGAGGUGCGAAAGCGUGGGUAGCAAACAGGAUUAGAUACCCGAGUAGUC